rnacentral:sRNA from 10 species
GCAUUUCCUUGUAUGAUGGCAUGCACUACAGCACACAAUUGCAUUCAGGAAGGCAGAAAAUUUGUACCUCCGACAGGGCCUGGGCCUUUGCUAAGAAAAAUAAUAAUCAAUCAUCGAAAUUCUCAAUCAUUUUGCGUCUAUCUUUAUUGAUAGCUUUGUCAUCUGCAGAAAAAAAAGGGCCUGUCAAAAGGGAAAAUGGGAAAGGAAUAAUCUCCCAAACAGUGUCUUGGAAAGGACCAUGGUUAAGGAAAACACUAAUCAUUUACAAACAAAACACAUAAUUGAGAGUAAUCCUAAAAUCAUAAUCAUAGAUUUGAAAGUUUGAACUCAGAUUUGAGUUGACAAAGUGAUUCCAGGCUGAGUGGAAGACAAAAACAGCCCAUCCUGCAUUGCCCUUUUUUCAGCAAGUCAAAAAGCAUGCUGAAAGCCCAACGAGAGAAGCAUGAAACCCCAUAGUCAAAGAAACUCUUAAUUCCCUGCAAUCAAAAGUAAACUUUGCAAAACUUUAUUGCUUCGUUAAGGUUGUACCCUGAAGGCUGUUGGGUUUUCAUUGUCAAAACCAAGGGUAUUUUUCUUUCCAAGGUACAACCACGAAAGCAGGGAGAUUUGGUCCUUGCUGCAUGCCAUUACAGUUGAAUAUUGACUAAGAAAACAAAUACAAGGGAACACCCCACCGUAUCCAUUAGGUCGUACAACACCAUGCACGCUCAUGCACCCCCUCUUUCUAUAUAAAGCCGUUGUUAGUAUUUCCAAAGGCCAAUGACCAACGAUUUCCCAAAUUAGUCAACUCUUCUCCUCCAUUUCUUUUUAGUACAAACCUGCCUUUUACUUCAAGUUCCAGCUAUUCUAAACUAAAUUCUCUCUGUCUCUCUUUCUGCCUUAUCUAGGGGUUCUCAGAGGCCUUGUUGCAGAGCCAAUUUGGCAUUCUGUCCACCUCCAUGAAUGCUUCAUGCAUGAUACCCCAGUUCAAAGUCAUAGAUCUUGGAGGCGGCCAGUAUGUCAAACAGGCUCUGUAAAUUUCUCUCUGAGAAACCCUAUGAGAUAUUAAUGAAGUACCCUUCUCUGUUAGAUGUUUGCUAAAGCUGGCUAGGAUUCUAUUUUCAAUUCUCUGUUCAGUUUUUCUAGUUGCUGCAACCUUAAAUGACAGUUCUGAAGCGCUUCAGGUAGAGCCCCGAGGAUGUUGGAAAUGCUACAAUUCCAACAAGGUCAAUUUUUGGUAGGAUUGGAGAGAGGUUGGAGUUUUCUGACCCGUGAGAAGUUCUGAUAGCUAGCUGUUUGUCACGAAUUCUACCAGUUUUGACAUGUAACUUUUGUCGAUUUGCUCCAUAUCUUGAGCUGCCUUUUUGCUUAUUUACAAGUCAACCAUCCACAAGAGUUUUAAAAAGCAGCCAUAUUUGCAUUGAACACCUGUUCCACUGUCAAUGGCUCUCAUUGUCUUUUGGUCUUUUUCUGGUUAGGCUUUGGAUUCCCAGAAGCACUAUGCUUGGAAAUGGUUCUGAUAGACCUUAAGCCCAAAACCCUCUUUGGUUAUUCCUAAGAAAUGGUAGCGACAUGAUUUUUGCUCGAGUCACUUCCUGAAACCCAGAGCCAUGAACAGUUAAUUAGAUCAGUCUGAGUACAGGGGCCAUGCAGCGACCUGAAUCUUGAUUUUGUUGUUGCAAUCUCCAGUGUUCUUGCUUAUGAAGUAACUCUAUCCCUUCGCAAGCACAAUCUGAUCAUGCCCUGAUUGAUAUGCUUUGAAAUUAGACCCAAGGGUGCAUGUAUCAUAGCUGACUUGGGUUCACUGAUAUCACAUUGUGGAUGGCUGGAUCAUAGUUGAAAACUGCAAAAACCAGAUCAGAUAGUGGUUGCUAAGUUUAUAUCAA